rnacentral:lncRNA from 1 species
CUCCUGGCCGGCUGGCCAUUGGAGGAACAUUUGUAUCACAUGGGUGAAAGCUAAGAACAUCUGCCAAAGAAACCUGUCGGAAGCCCUGGAUGUGGCAUCUGCAGCAUCAGAGCCCCAGCCUCUGAAGCCACCAAGACCUGAACAGCCUGUUAGAGACCACCACAAGCUGGGCUCCUCCCCCGCUUGACAGAAUCAAACAAGGGCAAGAGAUGGUGGCUGGAGCGAUGCGAAGGCACUGGAUGGCAAGCCCUCCCUCGGCCGUGGGCAGGGGGUGACUGUCCCGAGAGCAGAGGGACUCCGUGAAGGAAGCUGACUCGGUGUGACUGCACGUGAGAAGAUCUGGAUACAGCCGCAUAACCUUCCCAGGAGCAAUCACGCAGUGACUGGGGGAGAGGCGAGCUUCGUAUCAGCUAAAGAUAAUUAAUUCUCAGAGACUAAUAAAUAAAGAUAACAAUAUGUCAUAUUAUGCUUAGCACAUCUGGUACCUCAAAACCGAGAAGCAAAGAAAAACUGAAAUUUGAGUCAGCCAUCCUAACUGGAAAAAUUGCCUCGAACGUGACUCUGAACUGCUUGUCCGUGAAACCAAGCUCUGCCUGCGCCAUCCUCGCCGGCCUUCAGCUCGGGACACGGCGCUGACGCGGUGGGGAAAGGCAGACGAUCGGCUUCCGGGCGGCUGAGGAGUCGGGUGGCACCAACGCUGUAAGUGGACGCAGAAGCAAAUGAUCACCUGAAGUGAAAGCAUCGUUUGAAUGAACAUAGAACUUAUCUCCUAAAUAUGGGUUCUGCUGGAGCUAGCCCACUGAUUAUUUUCAGUCUCUUUGAGAUUCCAUCUUUAUAUAAAAAUUCAACUGAGUUUUUUCCCCACAAAAAAAUAUGCUACAUACUUUAAAUAAUGGUCUUUUUUUUUUUAAGGAAAAGGUGUUGCUAUAUCAGGAAGAGGCAUAGAAAUUAAAAUUAUUGGAAAAACUGCUAAACCCUGUACAAAAUGUUAUGAACACAUUCUAUAUACCAGGCAUUGAGUCCAUUGGCUGACCUAACAGAACUGACAGCCCAGUGAAGGAAAAUAGACCCCUGAAUAAAUAUGUAAUAAUCUUAAUAAAAUGUGUCAUGAUUAGGGUAUAUAAAUACUGUGAAAAGAAUUGGAAGUAAAACAUCUUGAAAUAAUAAAAAUCAAUAUAAUUUGGAAGAUUUAUUGUAUUAAUAAAUGACCUUCAUUACAUUUAUCCAAGUCAGGACGACAAAAUGGAUGCUUUAAAUGGUGAAAAGCAGGAGAGAGAAAAAUUGGGCAGUUUUCAUUUCACACACUGUCAUUUCUUUCUUUUUUUUUUUGGUGAGGAAGAUUCACCCUGAGCUAACAUCUGUUGCCAAUCUUCCUUUUUUUUGUUUUUUUUUGGCUGGAGGAAGAUUAGCCCUGAGCUAACAUCUGUGCCAAUCUUCCUCUACUUGGUAUGUGGGAUGCCUCCACAGCAUGGCUGAUGAGUGGAGUAGGUCUGCACCAGGAUCUGAACCAUGAACCCAGGCCACCAAAGCGGAGUGCCCAGAACUUUAAUCACCUGUCCACAGGGCCAGCCCCUCACAGACUGUAAUUUCUAUAUUGGCUUAUGAAACAAAUACUUCAUGUUGGAAAGAAUAUAUGAAGAGCAUAGCACCUCGUAUGGAUCAGCAGGAAUUAUGCUGGCUGCUGGAGAUGCGGAGCUAAUAAGCAAUGUCCUGGAGGGAGAAAGACAAGGGAAAUAGCAAGCUAUAAUAUUAUAUAAGUGCUAUAAUAUUAAAGCACAGAUGGCUGGGUUUUGUUUUCUUUUUUUUGUUUCUCUUGAAUCUGGAUUGGCUAGCAGAGAGAAAUCUCCUUGGAGAAUACCAAAAAGAAAGAAACUACAGCCAUAAUUAGGAGCAGAAGCCCAAGCUCUGGAAGUAGGGAACAGACAGAAUACACAUUCUUUCACCUACUCUGAGUUGGUGCAGAUCUGGCAGGUGUG